UCUCCAUCAGGAAGAAGGCUCUGGCAAGAAAGAAUGUGAUGACUCAGAAGGAGUGCCCACAUAAAAAUCUAGUGGGUCAACUCUCUGGCUUCAGUGAGUGCCUGAGCCUGCUGCUGCCAGUGAAGGGGAGCAGGAAUUCUACCUGUGUGAAGUGUGAGCAGGGAGCCAUUUGAUCACCAACUACAGUGAAGGUGUUGUAUCCUGGAUUCUGGGUUGAAGAGCAGGGAAGUUUUGGCACAAAUGAAUCACUACUGUUCUGAAUUCAUGGGAGACGCACACAGCCACUGGACUGAUGCCAGAGUUGCAUAAAUCUCUCCCGGCUUCUUCAACCUCAGGAUAUGUAAGACUAGUGGAUAAAUUGGAAGAUCAAUGCCUUGUCCCUCCUGCUGUGCCAGCUGCUAUUGAGAAAUUAAUAUGAGGAUCAUCAUAAAUAAAAGAUAAAAGAUUA